rnacentral:rRNA from 1 species
GACGUAGGGCGCGAGCGUUGUCCGGAUUUAUUGGGCGUAAAGAGCUCGUAGGCGGCUUGUCGCGUCGACUGUGAAAACCCGCGGCUCAACUGCGGGCCUGCAGCCGAUACGGGCAGGCGUAGAGUUCGGUAGGGGAGACUGGAAUUCCUGGAUGUAGCGGUGAAAUGCGCAGAUAUCAGGAGGAACACCGGUGGCGAAGGCGGGUCUCU